UACACUGAAUAUUGGCUUUAGAGAUAUAAAAUGAUAGGUGGGACAAUGAAAUGACAGUAAUACGGAAGAAAAUGAGACCGGUCAAUACAAAAAAUGGAAGGAAAGUAGAUAAGAAUGCUAGAUAUAAAAUGAUAUGGAGGUACAACAAGGAAAGAAGAAGAAAAAGGGCGCCAACUCGAACGAACAGCUCGGCUCUCGGAACCAAGAAUUUGGAGAUUUUUUAAAAUAACGAAUGACAGGAAAUAAAAGACACUCGAUACAAUCACCUGAAAUACAAAAUAUUAAAUACUAACCUUGUCUUGCUAUAUUAUAUACUGGUGAUAUAGACUGAAAUAAAACAUUAACCUU
rnacentral:lncRNA from 1 species